UGAGGAAUAUUGCGCAAUGGAGGCAACUCUGACGCAGCCAUGCCGCGUGCAGGAAGAAGGCGCUACGCGUUGUAAACUGCUUUUAUCCGGGAAGAAACCCCAGGACGUGUCCUGGGUUGACGGUACCGGAGGAAUAAGCACCGGCUAACUUCGUGCCAGCAGCCGCGGUAAUACGAAGGGUGCAAGCGUUAUCCGGAUUCAUUGGGUUUAAAGGGUGCGUAGGUGGGGCGAUAAGUCAGCGGUGAAAUCCUGCAGCUCAACUGCAGAAUUGCCGUUGAUACUGUCGCUCUUGAGUACGCUUGACGUGGGCGGAAUGUGCCGUGUAGCGGUGAAAUGCUUAGAUAUGGCACAGAACACCGAUAGUGAAGACAGCUCACGAAGGCGAAACUGACACUGAGGCACGAAAGCGUGGGGAUCGAACAGG
rnacentral:rRNA from 1 species